AAAAUUCCAUCAUACAUUUAAGUAUAUUUUACACCAUUCCUCUGGAGUGGAGCAUCUCGUUUCUACUUGUUACCUUGAUCCAACAAAAGUACGUGUUCCCCUCUAUUUUAUCCACUUUCCCUUGGAAAUAUUUUUGUUAUUUUGGAGGGGAAGCUCAUUUCCCAUGGAAAUACUUGCGGAACGAUGGCUGUUCUCUUCGCAAGAAAAAACUGAAGCAACCAAUUUAAAAACCAAAAUAACCCUAAAUCAUUUCCCCCCUUUUCUCCUUUGACAGCAGCUGCUAGCUGCAUCUCCUCCUAUCAUAUAUCUCUCAUUCUCCCUUGAAAGAUUACCUUAAAUCCAUCGAUUGUUCCUUUUUGGCAGCAGCUGCACCUCUCCACCCCCCUUCCCUCUGUCAUUCUUCCUUUUUGAUCGAAGACCCAAUCCAUCAAUUUUAAGUCGCCGUGAGUUCAUGACUCGUUUCUCUCCUCUGUUCUGUUUAUUCUCUUGCAAACAUGCAUGGGAAUGUUGAAGAAUAUGUGCAAAUUUCCCAAUUUCCAAAGGCUUAAACAACACAAGAAGCACUGGAUUGUGACUCAAGUCAUUCCAUGAGAACAUUACCUUUCCUUGUAGCAUCAGAAAAGUGAAAAUAUACCACCGAAAACAAUGCAAGUAAAGAGGAUCAACCCGCGAUGAGCUUUCCUCUCUUCAUUCGAUAAGAGCUUCGUUGCUGUGACC